AAGGGAAAAGAAGGAAAGGAAAGGAAGAAGGAGAGAGGGGAAGAGAGGCAGAAGGGAAGAAGAAAAGGGAAAAAGUCCAGAGCUUGGCCUGGGUGGUAUUGCAAUGUAGAAGGGCUUCAGGUAUCUUGUUAGGUGCACAAGAAGGAGUUCAUGCAGCAAUAAAUGAUAUUGUUGUGUUCAUGUAGGUCAGAGUGGUAGAAUUGAAGCAGAUGGAGAUAAGAUAUGGCACCAAAGUGAAAUACUGCACAACAUAAGACGAUGUGAGCUGAAACCAGCGUGACUUCCUGGCUUCCCAAAUUGCACUGGUUAAAGAAGUUAUUUGUGGGGAUGGUGUGUGUAAUUGCUCUUUAGUGGGAGAACAGCUUCGUUCCUCCUCAAUAACUUUGCAUGGGGACACAAAUGAAUACUUCUGCCUUCUGCCUCCAUGAUUGUGCCUCACGAGAAGCACCGGAGUCCCAGUAGAAUACUUUUAGCUUUUGCCUUUAAAACGCGCGAGGACAUUUUCCUCGGGUCCCACAUACACUGCUAGGAAAAAGUGGCUCACUAUGGCCUUAUCAGCCGCUCCGCUCGGCAGCCAGUAACGUCUGAGUGCGAAAACACAAUGCGCUGAUGGAACUGCAUGUUAAGCUCUGCAAAUUGCCACAGCGCUGCGUUCCUGCCAGGGCUGCUGUCUGUGUGCACAGGGAUAGGAUUAGGAAAGCCAAGGCACAGGUGGAGCUGAACUUGGUGUGGGAUGUGAAGAAUAACAAGAAGGGGUUCUACAGGUACACAGGCAGAAGACAGGCCAAGGAGAGCGUUCCCCCUCUGAUAAAUGAGGACAGAGAACUGGCUUCCUCAGACAUGGAAAAAGCUGAGCUGAGGUGCUCAAUAAGUGUCUUGCCUCGGUCUUCAUUGGUGGUCAGGCUCCUCCCCAUGCCUGCCAGGACCUGAAGAGAGGAAAGUGGGACUAAAGAAGGCUUCUCUGAGAGCUGCCGCUGCACAUGCAGAGAAAAGCAGGGUGGAGGGAACAUAUAUGGUGAGGUGCUCAGGUGAAAUUGCCCUCCUUGCACCAACAGCCCAUUUGUGUCCAUGUGAUGCACGGUGAAGAGAAGCCUGCUGUUCUUGACCACAACCAGUCCUAAGAAGACACUUUACAUCAUGUCGGACACCAGAGUGUCUGCGCUGACCAUGUCUGUGAUGAGUGAGGCUACCUCAGUCCCUCUCAAACUGCCAGGCAUCCAACCUUCCUCCUCCGCCAGCUCUCCUCCUAGCCCUGUCACCUUUGCCACCUCCCCAUGUUGUAUCGUGCCUUGGAGAUCUGUGGUACUGGGGCAGGCCUGAACUCCCCUCCCUGACAGCAGACACGUUUCUGAAAUCUCUGCUCAUUUCCUCAUCCUGCUGGCUCAUUCUGUAUUUACAGGAAGCAAUGGCUUGGAAAUGAUGGCAGUGUCACCCAGCAGCCCACACAGUGACCCGAUGUCUCAUUGCUUGCGUCUGUUAAAAACCACCACGAUGAGAAAAGAACGUUUGCAUGGAUUCUAUGCUGACUGUGUCAGUACAGCCCUUAGGAGUGGUGUGGACAUGGCAUGGAAGGGAGAAGGGAGUUCCCUUCUGAUGGGAAAGUCAGCUUGUGCUGGAAGUGGACGGUAUCAGAGUGUGAGUGAAGGUCAGUGCAGGAGCAGCUGUUGAUGGGAGUCCAGGCUAAUGAACUCUGGAGCAUCUCCCAGUACGGUACCGGAGGAGGCAGGAAUGAUGUUAAGGAGCUCCUCAGCAGGAAGGUGGCUCAUCCAAAUGCUUGCUGACAGUUUGAAAGCCCAGACCCUUCCAGCCUCCACCUCAGAGGCAACAUCUCCUUUGUCCGAUCAUGCAGCACCUGAGCAAGAGGGGAUUCUUUCCAAAAGGAGAUUUUGGGGAUUGAGGCAGUUGAAGAAAGAGUGAAGCCAGGGGGCAGUCCCUGUGGAGAGGACCCCAGGAACUGAGCUUCCCCACCACUGUCUCAAUGAGAAGACAGACGCAGUUCCCAUUCCUGCUCUGCAUAUGGAAAAGUAUGGCUGGAUUUAUUUGUUUGGGUUUUCUUCCUUUCUCUCAUUUUGAAGGGGAAAAGCUGGAGCAGGGGGAGCACUACUGGUCCUUUGUUACCUCCAUAACCAGUUGGAUUCUGCAUGUGCUGCAACAGGACAGCAUUGCCAGGCUCCUUAAGCUGCUGGGGCAGGGUGGGAGCAAAGAGCGUGAACUGCCCUCCUGCCAGCUGCACCUAGUUAUGGUUUGCCGGGUCCCUGCUGCCCUGAAUUUCACCUGAAAGGUUUGUUCUAGCUGCUUGCAGUAGUAAAAUUUAGGGAAGAAAUGGAAGUCAAGAGCUAAGGCUCUGCACAAUAACUUUGCGUGGAUUGAACUAUGGCACCUGAAGACUGUUUCCUGAAUAAUGCUGGCAUUUUGCAGGUGUGUUGGUUUAACCCACUGAACUGAUGUCUGUGAGCGCCCGUCUUCUCCACCUGAACAGUAAGAAAGCUGGGAUAUGCCCAGAAAUUGCAGCAGUUGCUGUGAAUACUCUCCCAAAUGUUUGUUUCCUUUAGUGGUAGCUAAUGACUCAGCACUGUGAUAUCCUGUCUCUGGCACGAUCUGGAACGCUGCAUCUCUUUGCAAAUGUUGGGUGCCCAUUUCCAUGGACCCUCCUUUCUUUCUCUCCUCAGAAGCAGCACAGUGCGGUUCCCUGCGUUAGGGAGCAGCAGCCAGCAGGCUGCCAGAAUGCCAGCUGGGCCUUGCAGCGUGCAAAGGGACAUGUUGGGGAUGGACCAUCCUUAGCACCACGCAAAAGUGAGUCUCUUCAGUCCUCUGUCAUGAAGUAUGGAAGAAUGCAUUUUAAGUAUUACUUCUGAGCGGGUGCAGGACUGUAGGGAUGUCAGGUAACCAUGGUGGAAGCAUUGGGGAGGCCGACAGCGGCAGCUGAUGGCAGCAGUGUGACAGAAGGCCGUGGUGGUGCUCAGAGCUGAGUGCAU